GUGACCAAAAAAACAAAACAAAACAAAAGAUUGGCACGAGACAGAGAACAUUAGCAUGGCCGCUGUGCACGGAUGACAUGCAAAUCUGUAAAGCUUUCAAUAUGUUG